UACGUAGGGGGCUAGCGUUGUCCGGAUUUAUUGGGCGUAAAGAGCGUGUAGGCGGCCAAGUAGGUCCGGUGUGAAAACUCGAGGCUUAACCUCGAGAUGUCAUCGGAAACCAUUUGGCUAGAGUCCGGAAGAGGAAAGUGGAAUUCCUGGUGUAGCGGUGAAAUGCGCAGAUAUCAGGAGGAACGCCUGUGGUGUAGACGGCUCUCUGGACCAUUACUGACACUGAGGUACGAAAGCGUGGGUAGCAAACAGG
rnacentral:rRNA from 1 species